UUUUUUUCGCAGAUUU
rnacentral:sRNA from 1 species